GAAAGACGGGUGAGAAUCCCGUCCACCGAUUGACUAAGGUUUCCAGAGGAAGGCUCGUCCGCUCUGGGUUAGUCGGGUCCUAAGCUGAGGCCGACAGGCGUAGGCGAUGGAUAACAGGUUGAUAUUCCUGUACCACCUAUAAUCGUUUUAAUCGAUGGGGGGACGCAGUAGGAUAGGCGAAGCGUGCGAUUGGAUUGCACGUCUAAGCAGUAAGGCUGAGUAUUAGGCAAAUCCGGUACUCGUUAAGGCUGAGCUGUGAUGGGGAGAAGACAUUGUGUCUUCGAGUCGUUGAUUUCACACUGCCGAGAAAAGCCUCUAGAUAGAAAAUAGGUGCCCGUACCGCAAACCGACACAGGUAGUCAAGAUGAGAAUUCUAAGGUGAGCGAGCGAACUCUCGUUAAGGAACUCGGCAAAAUGACCCCGUAACUUCGGGAGAAGGGGUGCUCUUUAGGGUUAACGCCCAGAAGAGCCGCAGUGAAUAGGCCCAAGCGACUGUUUAUCAAAAACACAGGUCUCUGCUAAACCGUAAGGUGAUGUAUAGGGGCUGACGCCUGCCCGGUGCUGGAAGGUUAAGAGGAGUGGUUAGCUUCUGCGAAGCUACGAAUCGAAGCCCCAGUAAACGGCGGCCGUAACUAUAACGGUCCUAAGGUAGCGAAAUUCCUUGUCGGGUAAGUUCCGACCCGCACGAAAGGCGUAACGAUUUGGGCACUGUCUCAACGAGAGACUCGGUGAAAUCAUAGUACCUGUGAAGAUGCAGGUUACCCGCGACAGGACGGAAAGACCCCGUGGAGCUUUACUGUAGCCUGAUAUUGAAAUUCGGCACAGCUUGUACAGGAUAGGUAGGAGCCUUUGAAACGUGAGCGCUAGCUUACGUGGAGGCGCUGGUGGGAUACUACCCUAGCUGUGUUGGCUUUCUAACCCGCACCACUUAUCGUGGUGGGAGACAGUGUCAGGCGGGCAGUUUGACUGGGGCGGUCGCCUCCUAAAAGGUAACGGAGGCGCUCAAAGGUUCCCUCAGAAUGGUUGGAAAUCAUUCAUAGAGUGUAAAGGCAUAAGGGAGCUUGACUGCGAGACCUACAAGUCGAGCAGGGUCGAAAGACGGACUUAGUGAUCCGGUGGUUCCGCAUGGAAGGGCCAUCGCUCAACGGAUAAAAGCUACCCCGGGGAUAACAGGCUUAUCUCCCCCAAGAGUUCACAUCGACGGGGAGGUUUGGCACCUCGAUGUCGGCUCAUCGCAUCCUGGGGCUGUAGUCGGUCCCAAGGGUUGGGCUGUUCGCCCAUUAAAGCGGUACGCGAGCUGGGUUCAGAACGUCGUGAGACAGUUCGGUCCCUAUCCGUCGUGGGCGUAGGAAAUUUGAGAGGAGCUGUCCUUAGUACGAGAGGACCGGGAUGGACAUACCUCUGGUGUACCAGUUGUCGUGCCAACGGCAUAGCUGGGUAGCUAUGUGUGGACGGGAUAAGUGCUGAAAGCAUCUAAGCAUGAAGCCCCCCUCAAGAUGAGAUUUCCCAACUUCGGUUAUAAGAUCCCUCAAAGAUGAUGAGGUUAAUAGGUUCGAGGUGGAAGCAUGGUGACAUGUGGAGCUGACGAAUACUAAUCGAUCGAAGACUUAAUCAAAA
rnacentral:rRNA from 1 species